GACGAACGCUGGCGGCGUGCCUAAUACAUGCAAGUCGAACGAGAGCGCCCGGUGCUUGCCCUGGUCAAUCUAGUGGCGAACGGGUGAGUAACACGUGGGUAACCUGCCCAUCAGAGGGGGAUAACAUCCGGAAACGGAUGCUAAAACCGCAUAGGUCUUCGAACCGCAUGGUUUGAAGAGGAAAAGAGGCGCAAGCUUCUGCCGAUGGAUGGACCCGCGGUGCAUUAGCUAGUUGGUGAGGUAACGGCUCACCAAGGCCGUGAUGCAUAGCCGACCUGAGAGGGUGAUCGGCCACAUUGGGACUGAGACACGGCCCAAACUCCUACGGGAGGCAGCAGUAGGGAAUCUUCCGCAAUGGACGCAAGUCUGACGGAGCAACGCCGCGUGAGUGAAGAAGGUGUUCGGAUCGUAAAACUCUGUUGUUAGAGAAGAACAAGUGCUAGAGUAACUGUUAGCGCCUUGACGGUAUCUAACCAGAAAGCCACGGCUAACUACGUG
rnacentral:rRNA from 1 species